UCAGUUACAGGUGAGAUUUGAACUAUCAAAUGAAAGUUUAACAGAAUGCGAACUUAAAAGAUUCCUGCUUCUUUUGAAUCAACCAGUUAUGUUUUUAACACCUAUUUACUUACCAUUCUGAACAUGUGCAUUAAGAAUGUGCUUCAAGUGUUCUAUUGACCUAACGAAAAAACGUGCUUCCUUACAUACAGGGAGAAAAAGAGAGAGAGAAAAAAAACAGAAGUAUCAUUUAACAGAUGUUUCAAUAUAAAUGGUAACUUUUUACAUAAAUUUCUGCAUAAAGCUACCCAAGAAUGCUGUGAUAAGAACAUAAAAUCAUUAGGUAAGAAGUAAUUUUUCAUAGGAUAGUGUCAAUGGUAUCUUGAAAUUCACAUGAUCUACAUAAUGAUUGAUUCCUAGAAACCCCCAGGUCAUAUAUGCUGACAUCUGGAAUCAAAAUUUUCUGUGGUCUGUAUAUAACAGCAGUAUUUUCUCCAAUACUUGAAUUUCACAAGGAUGUGAAAACAGUGGGUUUACUUCUUUGCAAAUAUCAUUCAUUCAUUAUUCACCAAAUAUUUACUGAGCAACUACUAUAUAUCACGGUGUCUGAGGCGCCAGAGAUACUGCAACGAACAAACAGACCCGAAUCCUCGGGGAACGUAACCACUGAGGCUACGUUCCAGCGAGGGAGCCAAGUAAAUAUGGUGUGUAAAUUAUACAGUAUGUCGGUGAUAUGUGCCAAGGAGGAAAACCAGAGCAGUGAAGGGAAACAAGACCUACUGGAGGGGAUGGCUGAAUUCAACCUUCUAAUUGAGGUAGUUGCUUACAUAGUAAACACUCAAAUAUAGCAUGCGAAACUGAUGAAAUUAUCCGGACCUUUGCUCAGUAACUGUAUGGCCUGUAUAAAGAUUAAAUAUAUCACCUUUGCCAACACAUACCGGUGUUCGAGACUUCCCAAAGGUGGGGCGCCUGGGUGGCUCAGUCGGUUGAGUGUUCAACCUCUUGAUUUUGGCUCAGGUCAUGAUCUCAGGGUCAUGAGACUGAGCCCCUGCAUCGGGCUCUGAGCUAAGUGCAGAGACUGCUUAAGAUUCUCUCUUUCUCUCUCUCUCUCUCUGUUCCUCCCCCUCUCACGCUCUCUCUCAAAAAAAAAAAAAAAAUUUCCCCAAAGUAAUUUCAGUUGUUUUGAUCCUAAUAAAGCUGUGUGCAUAAAAUGGUGGAAGAAGGGUAGGGGUCGGAUGGGGUAAGGAGGGCUAUUUGAUAAGAAAAAAAAAAGACGAGAAAAGCGGCCACUUAUUUGAAAUGUAAACAAUUUCAAUAGACAAUGAUAACAUUAAUCAAAGUGUCAGGCGCUGUGUAUGCACCUUCUCUAUAAAUUGCCACAGCCCUCUGAGGUAGCCCUAGUCCUCAUGUACUUUUAGGAGAAAAGCGAGAACAAAGGGUCCAGAAAUGUUCCCAGAGGUCACACAGCUGUUAAUAGUGGCAAUGGGCUUGACCUCAAUUCUGUGUCUACUCUGCAAGCUGCCUUUGGUUUAUAAUGAAUAAUGUAUAAUGAAUGAUGUAAAAACAGUUGUUUUUUCUUAAUUUUUUUUUUGAUGUGUAUUUAUUUUUGAGAGAGAGAGAGAGAGACAGGGUGAGCUGGGGAGCGGCAGAUAGAGAGACAGACAGAAUCCAAAGCAGGCUCCAGACUCCAAGCUGUCAGCACAGAGCCCAACACGGGCUCGAACUCAUGAACCGUGAGAUCAUGAGCUGAGCCAAAGUCAGUGCUUAACUGACUAAGCCACCCAGGCGCCCCAAAACAGUUUUCUUAAGUAUCACUUUCUUAGACCCGAAUCUGGAAUUAAUUUAUCCAGAUUUUAGAAAUUAUUAUGUCCUUACUGUAGCCUUAACAUUCUUUUUUCAUGUAAGAAAAAUAUUCCAUGUAAGGGGAGAGCCCGAACACAAUUAUCACUCAGACUGCAGAGGAGUCCACAGAAGAGGGUGACUCAAGGGUCAUCAAGACGGUUCGCUGUCCUAAAAUCACUUUUUGGUCAAGGUUUAGUUGAUCAAAGGCCAUUCCUUUGCUUAAAGCACUUUCUUUUCUAAAGCUCUUCCUUAAAUAUGUAAUUGAUUAUGUAUCAAAGACCAUUUUUUUUGGAGGAAGAAUAUGAUUACCAUUAAAGUACUGGUGUGAAUGAGUUCAUCAGUGAGAUGUUUCUUCAAAAGUGCAACCUGAUCCAAGGGCGAUAAGUGUUAAUUUUGCUCUGAGGAGGAUCAUUUCCCGGAGCGCUGACAAGGGGGACCUACGUGAAGGACUUACUGGUAAAGAGGAAUAUCCAUCCUAUGUUUGGACAUCUUACUUGAUCCUGGCAUCAACCCUGAAGGACUGGCACCUUUAUUAAAAAAAAAAGGUGAAGGGAGAAAACAACCGGUCCAGAGAUUCAGUGACUGGCCCGAACCCAGACACUUGUCACAGCCAUUCAUCUGGGAUCCAAAUCCAGGACUCCUGCCCCCAGGACGGGCCCUUCUCCCGUUCUGCUUCUGGACUGUGAAUGUGCCAGGAGAGAAGGUGGCUACCACGAGUGGGAGAAAAGAGUGUCCAAGCAGAGAGGAGAAAGGGCAGCAAGGCUAACCCUGGACUGAGUCAGCCUUGGACGUGACUUUCUUGAUUUUUCUUCUGAGGCAAACGUAAGAGAAGUGACAAACACGGGCUUUCUAAACAAGCAGACACUAGGUGAACGUCAGGAUCUUUAUCCUGGCUUUCAUCACAAGGACUACAAUGUUAAAAAGUUUCCAUUAGGUAGGUGCUGUCUCCUGUAUGAAAUCAAAAGGAAAUAACUCUACUCAUCACAACCUAACCAGGAGUGGGGCAAAACACACUGGCUUUAAAGACAAAGAAACCCAGGCUUAAAUCCGGGCCCAGACCCCAACUUGACAAGGUAUGCCGGGGCAUGGAACAGAACUUCUCUGAGCUCUCGUUUUCUCUAGAGUGGGGAUCGCGACAAUGUCCGCACCACACAGGUUUUCUGUGAAGACUGUAAGAGAUCAUGAAAAAGGCCUAGCACCGCUCCUAGUGUGGAGGCAUUCCAAAGGGGAAAGUCCAGUGUUUCCAUCAUUUCUAUAAAAACCACCAGAAACGCCCACGACAUAAACAUGCAGAUAUACAGGUGCAACGCUCAAAUACACUCCAGCUCACCUUUUCCUCCUUCCAAUAACUUUUUGACAGAAAGCCUCGGUAGGGGCUCAGCCUGCAGCGAUGACACUUUGGAGGUUGGCGUGUUUGCCCUGCUGUGAAGUAGUGUCUGAAGUAUGAGACAGUCCUCCAGCUGUUUCAGCAGGAGCUUCCAGUACUCGGUGUCAAGAGAGAGGGCCUCCCAGGAGUCGGUGAGGGCCUCGGAAUCAGCACCCAAGACUGUUUGGGAAAACUAACAGAAAACACACUGGUGAUACUCUGGCAAAGAAUCUGGAUCGACAUUAACUUGAAUGAGCUUUUAACUUGAAAGCUGAUGACAGACUGUCAGGAUACAUCACAAAGCAGCACACAGAUGCUGGUUCACAAAUGUUACUACUUGACUGGGAUGGGACAGGAGGGACAGGAGGAGACGGCAGACUCUGGGGCAACAGUGAGUUGGACUCACUGCUUCGACAUUUGCAAGAAGAUCUGCAGUAACGCCCGAUUCAUCCAGUGUGUACUUCAACACGUUUGCAGGGCCAUCCUUGACAAGGGCCCCGGUCUCUUCGGUCAGUACCGGGUACUGGUAUCUCUUCAAAAUGCACUCACCAACAUACAAAACGUAUCUCAAACUUCUUCUCUUUCCAUUAUUAUAAACAUCUUAAGCCAGUACUCUUAAAUUUAGCAUAGAAACUAUACUCAGACCGACAGUGUUAAGUGAAUGUCUACAGGCCCAUUUAAGUGACUCAUCCAAUUAAACGCAAUGUCCCCUAGAAAGAAAUUAUUUGAUCUACCAUGAGAUAUGAGAUUUUUAAAAUAAAUUUGAGUGUUCAAGAGAUGAGGAGAAACCACAAAGCAAAACGAUCAAUAGGAAACUUUUAUGUGUCAUUCAACACUACAUCCCCUAAAACAACUUCUGUUUAUAAAAGAGGGGGCAGAGGUUAUAAAUGCAACCGUAGAACUUGAGAGCUACAACAAAGCUCAGAAAUAACGCAGCCUAACCCUGACCUCCUGCAGACGGAACCGAAGCAGGAGACACAUGUUUAAGGGACUUACCACACACGAGGGGGAAGACCUCUGCCCUCCACCUGCAGGACUUUACCCCUCAUGCCAUGAGGUGGCGGCUCAGCUCAAAUACGCAUGUCAUCUGAAUAAACAAGUUAAGGGCAGCACCCCUCACUCCCAGCAAGACAAAUAAGAACCUGCUGGGCACACAUUUCAAACUCCAGAUGUUCCGUAACACUGAAGACACUGCAGCCCCGACACAGGCUGGACAGGGACAGACCCAGCCUAUCCAAACAUGGGGGUACCCCUGCCCACUUACUUUCUUCUCAGUCAGACUGUUCGAGAUCUGUGCGGCAACGGAAUGGCCGACGUGUGCAGACAGCAGGGCGGCCCCGUUGUUCUCAGACUGAACACAAGCCGUCCGCAUCUGCUGCCACCACGGGGACACAGACUGGGAGUCCCAGGUCUCGUCGAUGGCCACUGCAGGCAAAAAGAGAAAGUUAAACAAGAGACUCGGAGCUUGUCGAUUUUUUCUGGUCCAAUCUUUACAGCAAAUGUAAUGCAGAAGCUGAAUUCCCCAGUUAUGCACUGGUAGAUUUCUGAAUGACUCAGAAAACAAAUCCAUAACUUCUCUUAUCAGAAUACUUAUAUCCCAUUUAUUUAGGCUGCCUUUAGUGGUCUUGCUUCUGAAUCAACUGUAAAUCUGUGGAAUAUUUUCAUCAUUGCUGAAAACUACUAUUGAAUUUGUGUUUUUUAAGUUUUAUUUUACUUAUUUUGAGAGAAAGCAAGACUACAAGCAGGGGAGGGGCAGAGAGAGAGGGAGAGAAAGAAGCCCAAGCAGGUUCUGCACUGUCAGCACAGAGCCCAAUGCAGAGCUUGAACUCACGAACCCUGAGAUCCUGACCUGAGCUGAAACCAAGAGUUGGAUACUUAACUGACUGAGCCACCCAGGUGCCCCACUACUACUGAAUGUUUUGAUGUAACGGAUUAUUAUUCUAAUGAGGCCAAAAAUAAUUUAAAAAAUGACCUCCACCAAAGACCAUAUGACUUACCUCAAUGAAUUAAGAAAACGCAUUGUUCAUAUCACAUUACUUUUGAUGACACAAAAUAUAAAUUUCAUUUCCAUAAAGCAUGCUUUGAACUCACUGAGAGCUAUUCAUACAUAAAAGAAUCUCUAGAGAAAUGUUUUGUACACUGUAGUCUCCUUUUAUUUCGAGAAAGCAUCCUCCUUUCCCAGUUUUGUGGUUUUCAAAUGGUAAUUAAUCUUCAUUUGCAAAAGCAGCAGCCUGCAUCUCAGGGCUGGGGAACCACGGUUUCCACCGGCAUCUAUCUUACCUCUCAUCUUGCUCAGGAGGGACAGCAUCGUGUGAAGACAGCACACAGACUGUGGUUUAUCCAAAAUAUCUUUUUCCUUGGAAAGCCAAACACUUAGCAGCAGAGCCUGAAAUCAAAUUUAAAUAAUUUUCAGUAAAAUAAAUAAACAAAAGGUUGCAGUUUUCAAGAGAGCACAUGUGUGUAUAUGAGUGCUUCAGUCCUUCAGAGGGAGAAGGAAGUGGUUGCUUAUUGUAUCACAUAACACGAGGGACAGAAAAGGUACCUUGUCUACUUAAGAGAUUCCCUAUCAUCUGUCAGAUAACUAAAUUCCACCGAUUCCAUCUCUUCUUUGGGUUAAGCAUUGCCUUCCAGGUUGAGCCUUGAUUACGGAGGAUAUUACCAGAAAGGUCACUACCAAGUUAGCAUAGAUCGCCGCGGAUUGGUGAGAAGCCACUCAGCCGACUGGAGGAAAGGAAGGAUCUGGAGCUGUGGACCUUACCCCUCAUUGGCCACGAGGCACUGUGGACUUGGCAAUGGUGAACAGACAUGUACAACUAUCAGAUUCUAGUCUUUAAAUAAGGCAUGAGAAACAGACUUUAAGCAAAAACACCUAAAUCAACAUAAGUGACUUUUAAGAUGCCUAUGAACCAGCAUACCUACUGAAAACUCAAGUAUUUGAAGGUGUAUAAAAUUUGUACACAGAUAAUUCUGAGAUAAUGAGAAGUUCAAAGGCACAGCACCACACCUGUCGGUACUGGUAUUUGCGGAAAGCCUGGACCUUCAUGUAAAAAAAAAAAAAAAAAAAAAAAAAGCCUUGAAAAUAAAAGGUUGAUUAUCACUUUAAAUAUAUUAGUACAAGUAAUUCUCAAAAAUUCAGAAGAGUAGGAAGUUGAAGAAGUGUGUGAAGGAAAUUAACCUAUGAGAACGACCUAAGGGCCAGGAGAGGGAAGUACCUGCCAGGCAUCACCCCGUUCAAUUCCAACAACCCUGUGGCAGGGAUAGUCUCCCACAUUGUACAUAUGACGAAAAGUAACUUACCGGUACCAUAUAGCUAAUGAGUUAGGCCUAAAGUCUGAACCUAGAUCUGCUGGAUUCUAACACGCAUGUUUUCUUUUCUCUUUAAAAAAUUAUACAUGUGCACAGGCAUGUACAUGCACAAAUAAACUUACAUGUUACAUAUUUUUUACAAAUAAAAAAUACACACUUUUAAAAGUA